rnacentral:rRNA from 1 species
AACCAAGUAGGCCUAAAAGCAGCCACCUUUCAAAAAGCGUUAAAGCUUCAUUAUUUUCCCCUAAAAAUUUCACAACCUCUUUCUAACCCAUAAAUUAUACUGAAUGAUCUCAUAACCAUAUGAGAGCCUAUAUGUUAGAACUAGUAACAAGAAGACAACCCUUCUCCAAAAUGUAAGCAUAAGCCAAAAUGAACAACUCAUUGGCACUUAAAGUUAAUAAACCACUAGUAGCAACUCAACAAGAAAAUUCUACUAACUGCAACGUCAACCUUACACCAGUACAUUUCUGGAAAGAUUAAAAGAAUGGGAAGGAACUCGGCAAACCAUUAACCCCGCCUGUUUACCAAAAACAUCGCCUCUUGCCACCCAUAAGAGGUCCAGCCUGCCCAGUGACCAAGUUAAACGGCCGCGGUACCCUAACCGUGCAAAGGUAGCGCAAUCACUUGUUCUUUAAAUAAGGACUAGUAUGAACGGCAUCACGAGGGUUAUGCUGUCUCCCCACUCUAUUCAGUGAAACUGAUCUCCCCGUGAAGAACCGGGGAUAAGGAUAUAAGACGAGAAGACCCCAUGGAGCUUUAAACUCAGUAUCAACUGCUUUAUAAAUUAACCUAACAUUUAUGCAACUCUGACUACUAGUUUUCGGUUGGGGUGACCCCGGAGUUUAAAACAACCUCCCCGACCAAAGGAAUUAAC